CUUCACCCCGUUGUGGCCUCUUUAUCCUUCACGUGUGUGUCCUGUCCACUAGUCCGUCUUUCCAUGAUUGGUUUGCACACGGCCACUUCAGACCUCCCUACUGCCCAAUGUAUCUACUGUUAUCUUCCUAAAACUCAUGAGCUUUAACCAGGAAAUUGGACUUUGAAUUCAAAAUAAGUAAAACAAUUAGAAGACCAGAAGUACAGGGAGUGCUCUAUUUUACUUCUUGCUGUUUGUGUUUAUUUCCCCAGAGACAGAGCACUACGGAAGGGAGCCCCAUUCCCAAGCAUGGUGUCCAAUACACUGAAAGAAUAACUGGGCUCAGUAAUGCACCUAGAGACUCAGAUUCCAGACCUGCCCACUUGCUUUACUAUCCAAAACAACCAUGACACAUGACUUCUCUGGCGGGGUGUUGGCCAAGACAAACUGAACUAUAGAAGAUCCUUGACUUGCCAACGUUCAAAUGAUGAACUUUCAAAAAUAGCGAAACUGGCUGCAGAGCAAAAGCUUUUCAGCUCUGCACAACACCAACAGAUGGCGCUAAGUGUCACCCUUGUGGAGAGCAGAGGGACCUCGGAAGGGCCUUUGGAAAUCUAAUCUGGUUUUGAGUUCUUGGUGGGAAAAUGCACCUUUAAGUUGGGGGAGUUUGAAGACGUUGCCAAGACACGUGCUGCAGCAUUUGAUCUUUUCUGCCGCACUGGCUUCUGCAAUUAACAUGCUUUCACCAGUGAAACUCAGGUUGCGGGGAGAGCAUUCUUCCAGGUUCAUGCCUGUUGUCAUGGAGUAAUUAUAAUUCAUGUCUCCGUUCACAGUGUCCUGGUUUGUAGAAUAAAAUAUCUGGUCCACCCACCCA
rnacentral:lncRNA from 1 species